AUUCUACUCCCUCCGUUACACAAUACAUGCCUUCUAUUUGUCAAAAUAUAUAUGUAUAUAGACAUGUUUUAGUAUAUAGGUACAUCCAUUUUUGGACAAAUGGAAGUCAAGUAUUUUGGAACGGAGGGAGUACACA
rnacentral:pre_miRNA from 1 species